UACGGAGGGGGCGAGCGUUAUUCGGAAUUAUUGGGCGUAAAGGGCGCGUAGGCGGCCCGGUAAGUCAAAGGUGAAAUCCCUCGGCUCAACUGAGGAACUGCCUUUGAAACUGUCGGGCUUGAGGCCGGGAGGGGGUAGCGGAAUUCCCAGUGUAGCGGUGAAAUGCGUAGAUAUUGGGAGGAACACCAGUGGCGAAGGCGGUUGCCUGGAGCUUUGCUGACGCUGAUGCGCGAAAGCGUGGGGAGCGAUCCGG
rnacentral:rRNA from 1 species